AAGUCACCAACAGACUGCAGCAAGUGUACUAAUUUUAGUUACUUCACUACUGUCAAGGGUGUAAAACAAUGAACUAAACCCAGUCGUCGAAUAAAUCGAAUCACACCC